UACGGGGGGGGCAAGCGUUGUUCGGAAUUACUGGGCGUAAAGGGCUCGUAGGCGGCGAACUAAGUCAGACGUGAAAUCCCUCGGCUUAACCGGGGAACUGCAUCUGAUACUGGAUGGCUUGAGAUUGGGAGAGGGAUGCGGAAUUCCAGGUGUAGCGGUGAAAUGCGUAGAUAUCUGGAGGAACACCGGUGGCGAAGGCGGGUCUCUGGGCAGUAACUGACGCUGAGGAGCGAAAGCGUGGGGAGCGAACAGG
rnacentral:rRNA from 1 species